GUACUCCAUUUAGCCACGUGCCCACGUGCUGCGCAUGGUCCAGGUGGCCAGGUCUGGAUUGGACCCACGCGUCAGUCCAAGCCCCUCUGUCCUCAAUCUCCGUCCCGGAGCUCGUCUCCCCCGUCCAGCAGUCGAUGCCCACCUCGCGCGACCACGCAUCAUCGCCGGCCGCCGUCCCUACCGCAUCUCCCUGAGCUAGCAGCCUCCUUCCUGUGGCCCAAGUUGCUCGUAGCCUCCUUCCUCCGGCACACGCAAGCACGCACGCUGGCCCAAGCACCCAGGCUGUGCGUAGCCGGGAGGAAGCAGGACGCGGCCGGCCAAGGUCAGCGGCUGGAGCGUGCCAUGGCGUCCAGCGAGCGAGAUGGCCGCUGGCGGUCAGUGAUCUGACCAGAUCCGAGCUCGCCGGACUGGUGGCGGCGCGCUGAAGGCAGGGGCACACCAGGUGUUCGAUCAAAUGCGUGCCCUUGGAGAUGCGCUAACCAAUCUUGUUUUUGGCCGUGGCUCCGUCAGCAUCGAGUAUGGUGACGGCGGCGCUUCCCGAGGAAAAUCAGCGGCGCCAUCCAGUUUACCCGAUGAAGUGUUGUCAUUGUAAACCUUGUACCUCCACUCGAGGCAGCAAUCAGGUGUUUUCCUCGAGGAGCAAAUUCUGCAACCUGUACUUGUGGGAGAAUGUUUUCGGUAUCAGGAAAGUGUCACCAAAACGUCCCAGGGAUUGUUUGCAGUUGUGCAGGCAAGCCAGACAGGGAGAACAAGUUCAUCCACUAGAACAAAGUGCCCUGCGAUGCUAAGCCUGUUAAGGACGGAAGAUGGAGGGUGGUAUUGGUAUUUAUGUGCGCACAGGGUGUUGCAUAACCAUGAACUCCUCGGAACUUGUAGUGCACGUGGGGUUCCUAAUCUUGAAGUCAGAAGGGCCUUCACGACCGGAGCAAGCGCCACCCGGACCAGAUUGGCAUUUCACUUGAGAUGGUGUUCUGAUGACCUCCUGAAGUAUGGAUCCGCCCGCUUCUGUAUCGAGCGAUGGUCGAUGGCAAUGGUUAUGCGGAUUGCGGAACAUGCGUUUUCCGUAACUGCGCACACGCUACGAUAUUUUCGAAGUAUUGGUUUGCACAAAUACUACAUACAAGAUUGCACAUCCCUUCACCCAGAAGAAAGUUCCCCUACAGAAAUGCCGAAGGGAAACUCGACGAGGCAUGGAUCACAUACCUUGUUUGUUGUAUCCUUGCUGCCGGUUCUUGAAGAGAAGAUGGCGUCCUUUCCCUGGGGCUGCACCAGCGUCCAGUCUGUGAGCUACAAAUGAGGCACCGCGUUUAUAUCCUCCAUGAAAUUGCCAUGGGAUCACAACUUGGCCACUUGCGAGGGGACUUGCUUCAACUUGCGAGGGGCCAGUCGGUGUCGCUGCAGGUGCAGGAGCCGGAUGUGUGCACGGCAACGGCAAGAGCAGGGGUGGGUGGGGUCAAAGAUGAAAAUAAAGAAGCACGUGGGUUUAUAAUCUUUGACUUUGUGUAGAAUGUUUGUUUUAGCAGCUGAUCCUAUCAUACGGCGGCAUAUUUAGAUACUUUGAAUACUGAUACAAAGGAGUUGCUAUCCUUGGGAGAGAGGCGUUUUGGCGGCCGAGCUCCAUGGAGGCCUUUAUUUUUGAAAAAUUGAAAUUCAAACUUUUAAUUCUGAAAAAAUUAUGCCUCAAAGAAUACCUUGAGUAGUGACCUGUAAAAAAAGAUAAAUUCAUGGCCUGGACGGAUGAAUAGUAUCAUGUGCUAAACAGCCCUAGAUUUGUCUUUUUUGCACAAUCCUCAUUUCAAUGUAUUUUGCAGUUAAGCACAUACGUGUUAUACCUUCAUGU